AAAAUGGAUUGAACGAGAGAGUUUGAUCCUGGCUCAGAUUGAACGCUGGCGGCAUGCCUAACACAUGCAAGUCGAACGGUAGCAGGCCUUCGGGUGCUGACGAGUGGCGGACGGGUGAGUAAUGCGUAGGAAUCUGUCUUUUAGUGGGGGACAACCCAGGGAAACUUGGGCUAAUACCGCAUGAGCCCUGAGGGGGAAANCGGGGGAUCUUCGGACCUACGCGCUAAGAGAAGAGCCUAACGUCUGAUUAGCUAGUUGGUAGGGUAAAGGCCUACCAAGGCGACGAUCAGUAGCUGGUCUGAGAGGACGACCAGCCACACUGGG
rnacentral:rRNA from 1 species